rnacentral:rRNA from 1 species
AGAGUUUGAUCAUGGCUCAGGAUUAACGCUGGCGGUAUGCCUAACACAUGCAAGUCGAACGGAAUACUAAUUAAGAGAAAUCACACACUAGUGAGAGGUUCUCACGAGCAGUAUUUAGUGGCGGACGGGUGAGUAACACGUUGGAACCUGCCCCGAAGUGGGGAAUAACUGCUCGAAAGAGUAGCUAAUACCCCAUAGUAUCCGGUUUAUCCGGAUUAAAGAUUUAUCGCUUCGGGAGGGGCCUGCGUCUGAUUAGCUAGUUGGUGAGGUAAAAGCUCACCAAGGCGACGAUCAGUAGCUGGUUCGAGAGGAUGACCAGCCACACUGGGACUGAGAUACGGCCCAGACUCCUACGGGAGGCAGCAGUGAGGAAUCUUCCACAAUGGGCGCAAGCCUGAUGGAGCAAUACCGCGUGCAGGAAGACGCUUUUCGGAGUGUAAACUGCUUUUGUCGUCGAAGAUUAUGACUGUAGACGAAGAAUAAGGACCGGCUAACUACGUG